CCUACGGGAGGCAGCAGUGGGGAAUCUUGCGCAAUGGGCGAAAGCCUGACGCAGCCAUGCCGCGUGAAUGAUGAAGGUCUUAGGAUUGUAAAAUUCUUUCACCGGGGACGAUAAUGACGGUACCCGGAGAAGAAGCCCCGGCUAACUUCGUGCCAGCAGCCGCGGUAAUACGAAGGGGGCUAGCGUUGCUCGGAAUUACUGGGCGUAAAGGGAGCGUAGGCGGACAUUUAAGUCAGGGGUGAAAUCCCGGGGCUCAACCUCGGAAUUGCCUUUGAUACUGGGUGUCUUGAGUAUGAGAGAGGUGUGUGGAACUCCGAGUGUAGAGGUGAAAUUCGUAGAUAUUCGGAAGAACACCAGUGGCGAAGGCGACACACUGGCUCAUUACUGACGCUGAGGCUCGAAAGCGUGGGGAGCAAACAGGAUUAGAAACCCCUGUAGUCCCA
rnacentral:rRNA from 1 species